CUCUAUACAUUGCCUCCCUAGAUCCGAACAGGCCGAAGAAGAAGCAAGGUAAUUAUAUGAUAAUACCUUGCAACUUUUUUAUUUGUGAUACUACUGCCUGGGUAUUGGAUACCAGAAGCCCUUAUCAUAUUUGUAAUUCGAUGCAGGGUCUGCAGGUCAGUAGGAGAUUUGAUGAAGGUGAGAGGUUUCUGAACGUUGGAGAUGG
rnacentral:lncRNA from 1 species